AGCGGCAGGCUUAACACAUGCAAGUCGAGGGGCAGCGGGGAGGAAGCUUGCUUUCUCCGCCGGCGACCGGCGCACGGGUGAGUAACACGUAUGCAACCUGCCCCUGUCAGGGGGACAACCCGCCGAAAGGCGGGCUAAACCCGCGUACAUGCCACCGGGGCAUCCCGGAGGCAGGAAAGGCUUCGGCCGGACAGGGAUGGGCAUGCGGCGCAUUAGGCAGUAGGCGGGGUAACGGCCCACCUAACCGACGAUGCGUAGGGGUUCUGAGAGGAAGGUCCCCCACACUGGUACUGAGACACGGACCAGACUCCUACGGGAGGCAGCAGUGAGGAAUAUUGGUCAAUGGUCGGGAGACUGAACCAGCCAAGCCGCGUGAGGGAUGAAGGUACAGAGUAUCGUAAACCUCUUUUGUCAGGGAACAAAGGCGGGGACGUGUCCCCGGAUGAGUGUACCUGAAGAAAAAGCAUCGGCUAACUCCGUGCCAGCAGCCGCGGUAAUACGGAGGAUGCGAGCGUUAUCCGGAUUUAUUGGGUUUAAAGGGUGCGCAGGCGGUCUGUUAAGUCAGCGGUCAAAGCCCGGGGCUCAACCCCGGCCCGCCGUUGAAACUGGCAGUCUCGAGUUGGAGAGAAGUAUGCGGAAUGCGCGGUGUAGCGGUGAAAUGCAUAGAUAUCGCGCAGAACUCCGAUUGCGAAGGCAGCAUGCCGGCUCCACACUGACGCUGAGGCACGAAAGCGUGGGUAUCGAACAGGAUUAGAUACCCUGGUAGUCCACGCAGUAAACGAUGAAUGCUGGCUGUCCGGGGGGAUUGACCCCUGGGUGGCGAAGCGAAAGCGAUAAGCAUCCCACCUGGGGAGUACGCCGGCAACGGUGAAACUCAAAGGAAUUGACGGGGGCCCGCACAAGCGGAGGAACAUGUGGUUUAAUUCGAUGAUACGCGAGGAACCUUACCCGGGCUCAAACGGGGAGUGACUCAGGCAGAGACGCCUGUUUCCCACGGGACACUCCCCGAGGUGCUGCAUGGUUGUCGUCAGCUCGUGCCGUGAGGUGUCGGCUUAAGUGCCAUAACGAGCGCAACCCCCGCGUGCAGUUGCUAACAGAUAACGCUGAGGACUCUGCACGGACUGCCGGCGCAAGCCGCGAGGAAGGCGGGGAUGAUGUCAAAUCAGCACGGCCCUUACGUCCGGGGCGACACACGUGUUACAAUGGGUGGUACAGCGGGAAGCCAGGCGGCGACGCCGAGCGGAACCCGAAAUCCACUCUCAGUUCGGAUCGGAGUCUGCAACCCGACUCCGUGAAGCUGGAUUCGCUAGUAAUCGCGCAUCAGCCAUGGCGCGGUGAAUACGUUCCCGGGCCUUGUACACACCGCCCGUCAAGCCAUGGGAGCCGAGGGCGCUUGAAGUGCGUCGCCGCGAGGCGCGCCCUAGAGCGAAAUCGGUGACUGGGGCUAAGUCAU
rnacentral:rRNA from 1 species